rnacentral:rRNA from 1 species
UACGUAGGGGGCAAGCGUUGUCCGGAUUUAUUGGGCGUAAAGAGCUCGUAGGUGGUUCGGUAAGUCGGAUGUGAAAUCUCCAGGCUCAACCUGGAGGGGUCAUUCGAUACUGCCGUGACUAGAGUUCGGUAGGGGAGUGUGGAAUUCCCUGGUGGAGCGGUGAAAUGCGCAGAUAGUCAGGAAGAACACCCCGUGGCGCAA